rnacentral:rRNA from 1 species
AGCGAACGCUGGCGGCAGGCUUAACACAUGCAAGUCGAGCGGGCAUCUUCGGGUGUCAGCGGCGGACGGGUGAGUAACGCGUGGGAACGUGCCUUCUGGUUCGGAAUAACUCAGGGAAACUUGAGCUAAUACCGGAUACGCCCUUUUGGGGAAAGGUUUACUGCCGGAAGAUCGGCCCGCGUCUGAUUAGCUCGUUGGUGGGGUAACGGCCUACCAAGGAGACGAUCAGUAGCUGGUCUGAGAGGAUGAUCAGCCACACGGGGACUGAGACACGGCCCAGACUCCUACGGGGGGCAGCAGUGGGGAAUAUUGGACAAUGGGGGCAACCCUGAUCCAGCCAUGCCGCGUGAGUGAUGAAGGCCUUAGGGUUGUAAAGCUCUUUUACCCGGGACGAUCAUGACGGUACCGGAGGAAUAAGCCCCGGCUAACUUCGUACCAGCCGCCGCCGUAA